rnacentral:rRNA from 1 species
UUCCGGUUGAUCCUGCCGGAGGUCACUGCUAUUGGGAUUCGACUAAGCCAUGCGAGUCGAGAGGGUUCGGCCCUCGGCAGACUGCUCAGUAACACGUGGAUAAUCUGCCCUUAGGUGGAGAAUAACCUCGGGAAACUGAGAAUAAUGCUCCAUAAAUCUGAGAUGCUGGAAUGCACUUAGAUUGAAAGCUCAGGCGUCUAAGGAUGAGUCUGCGGACUAUCAGGCUGUAGUCAGGGUAAAGACCUGACUAACCUACGACGGAUACGGGUUGUGAGAGCAAUAACCCGGAGACGAUAUCUGAGACACGAUAUCGGGCCCUACGGGGCGCAGCAGGCGCGAAACCUUCACACUGUGCGAAAGCACGAUGAGGGAAUCCCAAGUGCUUGCUCGUAAGAGUAAGCUGUUUUUGUGUCUAAAAAGCAUAGAGAGUAAGGGCUGGGUAAGACGGGUGCCAGCCGCCGCGGUAAUACCUGCAGCUCAAGUGGUGAUCGCUAUUAUUGGGCCUAAAACGUUCGUAGCCGGUUUGGUAAAUGCCUGGGUAAAUUGUGUAGCUUAACUAUACGAAUUCCGGGUAGACUGCCAAACUUGAGACCGGGAGAGGCUAGAGGUACUCCUGGGGUAGAGGUGAAAUUCUGUAAUCCUGGGGGGACCACCAGUGGCGAAGGCGUCUAGCUAGAACGGGUCUGACGGUGAGGGACGAAGCCCUGGGGCGCAAACCGGAUUAGAUACCCGGGUAGUCCAGGGUGUAAACGCUGCUUGCUUGAUGUUAGUUGGGCUCCGAGC